rnacentral:lncRNA from 1 species
GAUGACUGUCCUGUAGGCUUCAGUGUCCACCAUCUAUGGUAUAGGAGCCCAAGCAAGCUGGAUGGGGACUUUACUUCUGUAGAGAUCCAGACUGCUCAGCCACAGAUGAGAGUGAGCCAGACUGUGCAGAGCCAAAGGAGCCUAAGAAGAUGGGGACAAAGGUAGCAGGAAAGAAUGAUGCUCUUCAAGUACAUUUACAGUGUUGAGAGCUAAGCAAUCCUGACCAUGCUCUAUGGGCCUCUUUGUACCAUGCUCUUUCUAUGAGCCAUGUGAUCAAAAUAAGGGGAAGAAAGGGUCAUGAAUGCGGACUGUAAAUAACUGCAGAGCUAAAGCAGACCCCAGUGUACAAUUGGAUGGGGUAAACACAUGUGACCCCACCUUGGGAAAAGCCCUGAUUUGGUCACAGGGCCACCAUGGUGGGUGGAGCCUGGUGAAUGCUUUUUGCCGGUCAGAAGAUUUGAUGAAGAGACAAGUUUUGGAAGUCGAGAAGACGCAACUUAGCCGAAGCUUUUUGCUGUUGUUGUUAAGGAUUUACACCUUCCAUGACAAUUAAAAGCUGAACUGAAG